rnacentral:sRNA from 1 species
AUGCCAGAUGCCUCCCAGUCCCUGUAACAACCAAAACAUGUCCCUUGUACGUUUCUUUUUCUUUUUCUUUUUCUUUUUUUUUUUUUUUGAGAUGGAGUCUCGCUCUGUCGCCCAGGCUGGAGUGCAGUGGUGCGAUCUUGGCUCACUGCAACCUCCGCCUCCCAGGUUCAAGUGAUUCUCCUGCCUCAGCCUCCUGAGUAGCUGGGACUGCAGGCACACACCACCACGCCUGGCUAAUUUUUGUAUUUUUUUUUUUUAGUAGAGACGGGGUUUCGCCAUGUUGGUCAGGCUGGUCUCAAACUCCUGAGCUCGUGAUCCACUCACCUCGGUCUCCCAAAGUGCUGGGAUUACAGGCGUGAGCCACCGCGCCCGGCAUCCCUGUACCUUUCUAAAUGGGGGCGAGUUGAGGCUGUCUGAAUCCCAGCCCAUCCAGCCCAUCAUUCAAGUCAGUCCUAGAGAGGUGGCCCCCCAAAAAGCAAAAAGGGGAGUGGAACCCAGCUGUCUGCCUUCUGGGUUGGAGCUUGGAGAUAGGAGAGAAGGUCUGAUCUGUUGACUACUUUUCACCCCGACCUGGUCUUCCUGGGGCCUGCUCGUAUGUUCCCGGCAGCUUUCUGGUAAACUUACAGUACCGCCGUCUCUACCGAAGCAUGAACUCCCAGUAUCUGAAGCUGCUUAGCUCACAGGUGAGUGGGGACAGCACAGCUGGAUCACCAGCAGCCUUAGGACCCCAGAGUAGCACAGCAAGCUGGGGGCCCUUUAGACUUCCUCUCAGGACAAGGGAAGCUGAAACUCCAAAAGGCGAAGCCCAGGGUCCUGUGAUUGGUGGGGUCAGAAUUUGAACCUGGGUUUGUCCCCACCCAUGCUGUCCUGCUACAGGAGGUCAAGGGGUCUGCAUCAGCCAAGGAGCCUUAAGUGUGAAAAGAGCUUCAUUCAUGCCAAAAAUGGGCCAGCAGAGGUCCAGGAUGGGAGGAGACCUUGUCCAAGGUGACAUAGGAGGCACUGGCAGAGCCAAGUUAGGACUAGGUUCUGUCCAGCACAGUGGUUAAUAGCAUGGGCUCUGGAGUCACAUGGCCUGGGUGCAAGUCCCUGUACUAGCCACAUAAUCUUGGGCAAAUUUCUUAAAUAUGAGCCUCAGGUUCCCCAUUUGUAAAAUGGGGAUAAUAAUGAUAUCUACCUUCACAGAUAAAACAUUUAGUAGAAUACUGGACAUGCAGUAAGUCGUUAGAAAACAUGAGAAUUCCCUGGUUUGUGUUAUCUAGCUCGGCCCCUUGAAUUCCCUGAGGGGUAGGCCUUGAACUAGGGAAGGGCUGGGGACUUGGCUUGUUCCACACCCCUCAUUUCUACCCCGUCCUGCUUUAGAAAUACCAGAUCCUGUUAUAUAAUGGAGAUGUAGACAUGGCCUGCAAUUUCAUGGGGGAUGAGUGGUUUGUGGAUUCCCUCAACCAGAAGGUAAGGCAGAGAUUCCUGGCCCUGGGAUAGGGGCUGCUGUGGAGGAUCGGGAGCGGGUAUGCCUGGGAGUGGCCAGCCGGCUGCCUGGCUCUGGCCCACAGAGGGCAAGUGUGGAGGAAUUCCCAGCCCUAAGGUCUUGCUGGUAGCUGUGAGCAAGGACGCAGCUGCUGUAGGCUGAUGUCUUUCCUGGCGGGGCAGAUGGAGGUGCAGCGCCGGCCCUGGUUAGUGAAGUACGGGGACAGCGGGGAGCAGAUUGCCGGAUUCGUGAAGGAAUUCUCCCACAUCGCCUUUCUCACGAUCAAGGGCGCCGGCCACAUGGUUCCCACCGACAAGCCCCUCGCUGCCUUCACCAUGUUCUCCCGCUUCCUGAACAAGCAGCCAUACUGAUGACCACGGCAACCAGCUCCACAGCCUGAUGCAGCCCCUCCCAGCCUCUCCCGCUAGGAGAGUCCUCUCCUAAGCAAAGUGCCCCUGCAGGCCGGGUUCUGCCUUCAGGACUGCCCCGUUCCCACAGCCCUGUACAUCCCAGACUGGGCCCAGGGUCUCCCAUAAACAGCCUGGGGGCAAGUUAGCACUUUAUUCCCGCAGCAGUUCCUGAAUGGGGUGGCCUGGCCCCCUCUCUGCUUAAAGAAUGCCCUUUAUGAUGCACUGAUCCCAUCCCAGGAACCCAACAGAGCUCAGGACAGCCCACAGGGAGGUGGUGGACGGACUGUAAUUGAUAGAUUGACUGAUUAUGGAAUUAAAUUGGGUACAGCUUCAAA